CAGUCGCCACGGUAAUACAGAGGGUGCGAGCGUUAAUCGGAUUUACUGGGCGUAAAGCGCACGCAGGCGGUCUGUCAAGUCAGAUGUGAAAUCCCCGGGCUUAACCUGGGAACUGCAUUUGAAACUGGCAGGCUAGAGUCUUGUAGAGGGGGGUAGAAUUCCAGGUGUAGCGGUGAAAUGCGUAGAGAUCUGGAGGAAUACCGGUGGCGAAGGCGGCCCCCUGGACAAAGACUGACGCUCAGGUGCGAAAGCGUGGGGAGCAAACAGGAUUAGAUACCCGAGUAGUCCCUGUCUCUUAUAC
rnacentral:rRNA from 1 species